AGAGGGGAUUCCGUCGAAGAUAAGGAUGGACGACGGCCGGAAUUGCAACGGCACAGUCGUUAAAGAAGCGGAAAAUCAAAAGCAGACGGUGUGCAGACAGUGCAAACAGCUGUACACGGCGGUAUCCAAUUCUCCUGAUUCUUGCCGAUUUCACCCCUCAUUCUUCGUCUGCCGCCGCCACGACGAUCAAAAGAGGUUUAUUUUUACCCCUAUAAUGGAUUCGAUUUGCAUCUAUUCUCUAUUUUGUGAGGAUACUGGUUCCAACAGUGGAAAUUAAGUUAGGAUAGUUAUCGGGGAAAUUUUCAGUAGUGAAGUCGACUGAAGUUAUCGUUUCGAUUACUGUAGAUGGUGCAGAGCCAUUUCAUAUAACCAUUUUUUGCUGUGAAUUGUGAUAUUUUACUCACAAGCUAAAAGUCUAUCUGUAUUAUGUCAUCUAUGUAUGUGAACUCUUUGGCUCAUUAGAUGAAACAAACACCCAUUAGCAGCCGUCUAUGUCAGAGCCUAAAACCAGCAAAGCGAGCAAAAGAAUUUCCAUGUCUAGAUGUGACCUUACACUUACAAGUUUCCAAGGGUUUUUAAAAUAGAAUUACAAUUGAGGCAUUUCUUUAUGUUACUAUAAGUUAUCCCAUCAGUGUUUGCUCAUCCCUAGACGUCAAUAUAUAUGGCUGCUAAGCAGCCUGACCUCACAUGAAAAACAUAUGCUGUGCCAUAACAUUGAGUCAUUGACACUGCUGUGGAGGAAACAAUUAUGUUGGAGGAGAUUUUUCCGAAUUCUUAUAUUGAGUCUUUAUAUUCAUAUCUCUCUCAGUAGAUAAAUAGAGAUUUUGGCUGCCUGCACCAUUGAAUCAUAUGAUAUUUUGUUUGGCUUUUAUACUUGAUCACCUUGAAAAAAGACUGUAGAAGACAUCUAUCAUAAGUUCAUAACUACCUAUCAUGAUUGAUUUUGAGUCUUGAUAUUGACUUUAUUAGUUACAGAAAUGAAUUUUUGAAAGAACAUUUGGCCAAUAUAUAGAGAGUUGAUUUAUUGUCAUCAUCUUCUUCAUCCUUUCUUAUCAGGGAGGGGGGGUUCACUUUUCUAUACACUACUAGUCUGCAUGCGACUUGUGAUGACUUCUGUAGUUGCAACCAUCAUUGUUGUUGUGUAGGUGAAAAUGCAGAAGAAUUUACCUUUAUGCACUUUUUGAGUUUGUGAUAGGACUGCAGAGCAAUCAAAGGCUGUUUAUUGCUUGAAUAAAUUAUAAAGACACUAAAGGAACUAGGUAAUCCCAUCAUAGCUUACAGCUUGUCCAACUCCAAGCCAAUUUAUUCACUAAUUUCCUUCAUGAUCCCUCUUGUAUGAUAUUCUACGCUAUAACUAGGACAUAAUCUUUCCUAAAAUGAGCAAAUUAAAUCAUAUGCAUAACUAUAAAAAAAAUUCAAUUUACUGAUUAAUUGAUUUUAUUUCCCUUCUAUAGUACAUCAAAAUAUUCUCAUUGCUAUCAAUACCACCUUCUAGAAAAAAUCAUUGUCCUUAUGGCUGUAAUAAGGAAACUACCCUUUUAAAUUAUCCAUGUCUUUGGGCUCCCCCAACACUAGUAGCAAUUGCUUUGGACCUAGGCAAUUGUUUGGUGAUUUUUCUUUGUAUUUUCAUGGCUAGAGCAUUGCAUCAAACACAUUCAUCAUAUCUUCGACUGCAUUCAUACCCAUAUUCUUCUUGUAGACUGUUGAGACAUAAUCCUAUACAAUAUUAUUUGAAAUUCAUGGUUGGAGAAUGUUGGGCCACAAUUAGUGGCACUAUCCUUUUUCACCACAAUAAGAUCAACCUUUGAUUUUUUUCCUAUCCUUAGUACUGGAUGAUGUUCAACUGUUGGUAUUCCAACCAAGUGAUCAAUAUUGUUGAAAUUUGGUAAGUCCACCUUCUUGCCCAAGCUGUGGGGGUCGAAGUUGGAUUGACCGUUGGUUUGAUUGUAUUUGGAUUGACUAUGUCUUAUUGACUUUUUUGUGGCGAGUGAUAGAGUAAAGGCGUAUGAUGAUGAAGAGAUAAGAAAGAAAAUAAAAAUACAAUAUAUAAAACUCCUCCUGCGAGGCCCUCAGAGAAAAAUAUCUCUGCCCUACAGCUAUUGUUGUCCCUAAACAAUGAUCCCAAGAUAUCCUUAACCCUAAGUCGUAAAGAACUAUAUAUAGACCUAAUGACUUGAGGCCCAAUUAAAUGACUUGGAGCCCAUGAGUCUGACCUAAAUAACUUAACCCUAAAUAAUUGAACUACUGCGAAAAAUAAAAGAUAACUAUGAAACUAACAAAAACUAAUAAAAUAAAGAUAAUCCUAAAUCUACAG
rnacentral:lncRNA from 1 species